rnacentral:rRNA from 1 species
CCUGAGAAACCCAAAAGAUCGAAUGGGGAGACUCAACGACUGCGAUCCUGGCGCUCGUGCGGUUCGCGAUGCUACGGGGCCUCGGCCCCGGGGCACGCGUCCGUAUGUGCUUAUUCGCCGGGUGUCGCCGUCGCGCACUUCUCCCCUAGUAGGACGUCGCGACCCGUUGGGUGUCGGUCUACGGCCCGGGUGGGAGCCUGUCGUUUGUUACGCCUUGGGGCGCAUGCGACAGACCCCCGGUCGCCCGACCAGCUGCCCGGCGGUACUCGCACGGUAUCGYGCCGCAAAUAUUUGAACUGCGUCAGGCCCGUCGCAAGCGAGGCCAGUGUCUUACCCGGAUGCACGGACCUAGCGCCGUCACCGGGCCUGGCCGGCUGUUGGCUGACGGUGUCCUAAGACAGGCUCUUUGAAUUAUGAUACCGGUCGGCGACGCUACUGCUUUGGGUACUUUCAGGA